GUCUAUGGCCAUACCACCCUGAACACGCCUGAUCUUGUCUGAUCCCAGAAGCUAAGCAGGGUCGGGCCUGGUUAGUACUUAGAUGGGAGAAGCAUUUAGCCAGUAUGUACA
rnacentral:rRNA from 1 species